UCCGGAGGUGAACCUGCGGAAGGAUCAUUA
rnacentral:rRNA from 1 species